rnacentral:lncRNA from 1 species
AUGUCCCUUUUUUCUUCCUCUUCCCACUUUCCCCUCCUUUUUAUUAAAAAAAAAAAAAAAGAAUGGAAUCCAGCUUUCUCCAGAAGUUUGCUCUUCAGCCUCUUCUCUCCCACGCGGUGGAAGAAGGACCCCAUUGCAAGGAGUGCUUCCAGGCAGGACCUCAAUGGUCUGAUGGUCGCCCCCAAUCCUCGGCGCGCUCGGUCCCCCACGCCCCCAGCUUCGGUCCCUCCAUUUGAUCUCAGGGUCAAAAAGUGGAACAUUGAGGCAAAUUGACAAAUAAUUAAGACAUGGUACUUAAGAUAUCCUUCUGAACCGCUUGUGCCCACCCACUCUGUACACUGCAUUCUGAUCGACUUCCACUCUUCCUGGAUGAUUGGGUUAGUACUUGUUUUUCCUUGCAUGGCUUAUUUUGCCUUUUGAACCUAACACUUCAGCUCAU